UAGAAACAUCGAUGGUGUGACGUCACGAAGUGGUGAUGACGCAACAGAAGAACCCACUUCCUAAGUUCAUUGUUUCGUCACAAACUUUAUGGUUAUAUUUCAACAUGUUUUCAGAACGUGGUAUGUGACGUCACAGAGGAUCAAGCCGACCGCGAAUAUGAAAUGAAGAAAAGUCAGCGAAUAAAGCUGCCAAAGAAAAGCGCAAGACGAAGAACAAAAUAAGACGAAGACACCGAUAAAGGAUACACGGUUUGAGGUUUGAGUAUUAUAAGUAUGAGUUGUGUGUUGUAUGUGUGUCUUGUCUGCGCUGCUGUAUUCUUAUUCUGCUGGACCUAAUGUUGCCAGCUAUUU